UUUUAUGUUUUUAUUGGUUUAUUUUUCAUAAUUUAUCUUUAAAAAAUGAUCAGUGUGUAAUAAUGGUACUAAAAUACAUUUUACAGCUGAUUUUUUUUUUUAUUUGUGAGGGGGACAGUCAACACAUAAGUGAGUUUGCUGUGGCACCCAAAAUGCUGCCCAUGUUUUUUUCCAUAGCAAAUAGGGGCAGUUUUCAGUUGCCCAAAUUAGUGUUUACACUUACACUAACUCAAUUUCAGUGUGAUUUUUUUUUUAUGCUGUUCUUCAGCCUCCUGGGUGCCAUUGGACUCCUCCACAAGCCUAUUUUCUUUAAUACUUUUCUCUCAGUUUAGCGUCAUUAUUCAGCCUCUGUUUGAGUCCUUUAAUGGGACAGUGUCUACCAACAACAACACAGAGCUAUGUGAAACCACCAUGCAGUGGCUGGAACGAUACUGUACCCUCCCGGUCCUCAGGCCUAUGGUACUCAGGACGUUACGACAGCUCUGUACCAGCACCUCCAUCUUGACUGAUCCCUCUCUUUUGCCUGAGGAAGCUAAAAAGGCUGCUCUCAACCCCAAAAAACAUUCCUCAGGAUCAUAGUUUUAAGUCAGUGUGAUUUGAGUCUUCAAGGACCCUUUAAAGCAACACUGUGGUGGAGUAUUUGCUAUGUUGAGAACACUGAACUCGUUUAACUUCACUCAAACAAGUGGAAAUGCAAUCUCUCUUGUUUACAUGCAGUCUCUAGAGAGCCAUACAGCUGGCAUGUCUUUGUGUUUUUUAGACUUCAUUAGACGUGUGGAUUUUACUGCUCUGUGUUUUUUCGUGUAUUUGGGUGUCUUCCAUAUCAGUGCUCUUAUUUUGAAUAUUUAGUGGAGCCUCACCCUCAGUUCAUCCAGAAACUACAGCAACAGUUAAUAAAUACCAGGAUCAAGACUGUUUUUUUAAGUGCAUGGACAAAAAGUAUGAGUAAAAAUUACAAAUUGAACUACAGACAGAAAUUCUUAUAAGUUUUUUAUCGUAAGAUUUAUUGUUGUGCCUUAAUUUAAGUAGAGCUAUAGAAGAAAAGUUUGAGUUAUAGAAGAAUGAAGCCCGGUGAGUUUUAUACUGUAUAGUUUUUCUUUGUUGCCAUCGUUUGUUUUUGUUUUUUGCACGCUAUAGGCUAUUAUUUUAGGCAUAUUAUGAUCAAAACAAAACUUUUAAUAUUUAAUAGGCCUUACAAUAGCAUUUUAUUUUUUCCAUUGGCGAAUGUCUUUGUCAGCCACCUGAGUAUUACAGUUCACCUUAAAUGGCCACAGGUCUAAAUUGUAAGGACAAGUCUAUUGUUACAAAUGAAAAAAAUGAAAAAAACUAUUCACAGUGUACUCUGAAUGUUGAUUUGCUCUGUUUUGUUUCUGCAAAAACUGAAUGAACCUUUCCAACGGUGGGCUGUUCCCAGUAAUAAAUGAUUUUGCAUUCAUUUA